rnacentral:lncRNA from 1 species
CUUGAAAUGGGCUGAGUCCCUCUUGCUCACCCUUGACUUGGAAAAACCAGUUUCUCUUUUAUUGUCUGUUACUAAUCUCUAUUCUAAAAAUUCAGCUCAAUUCUCAACCAUACUCCAAACUCUCUCUUUUCCAGCUACCUUUACUCCCUCUCCUUCAAUUCCACUUUCCUCUGCUUACUUUUUUUUUUUUUCUGACAGGGUCUCACUUUGUCGCCCGGGCAGGAGUGCAGUGGCUCAAUCUUGGGCUCACUGCAGCCUCAACCUCCCAGAGGCGGGGUUUCACCAUGUUGCCCAGACUGGUCUUGAACUCCUGAGCUUAAGCAAUCCACCUGCCUCGGCCUCCCAAAGUGUUGGGAUCACAGGCGUGAGCCACCGCAUCCGGCCUCAUGUUCUUUUUCAUUAAAGAGAGAAAUCAACUAUUCAGGACCGGCCCCCACCUUUCCUCAGGAGUCAUUUCUGUUCCGCACAGGCCUGCUGAACUGGGUGCUUUAUAUAGGACACUGUCAUCUCUCAAGUACCCAUCUUGGAGGGUACGGACCCCACAUGAGGAUUUCAGUGGAGUGAAGUUCAGGAGGCAUGGAGCUGACAACCAUGAGGCCUCGGCAGCCACCGCCACCACCGCCGCCGCCACCACCGUAGCAGCAGCAGCAGCAGCAGCAGCAGCAGCAGCAGCAGCAAGAGUAACUCUGACUUAGGAAUAGAGACAGCCAGAGAGAAAUGUGAUCAAUGAAGGAGACAUCUGGAGUGUGCGUGCUUCUUCAGAGGGACGGGUGAUGGGCAGAUUGGAAAAAGCACCGCAGAUGGGAACCUUAAUCUUUCUUUUCUAAAAUUGAUGCUAUGAAAAUUUGCGUUUUCUGUAACUUGUAAAAACUAAAAGUUGCUUGUCUACUGAAAA